GACAGAGGGUGCAGCCGUUGCUCGGAAUCACUGGGCGUAAAGGGCGUGUAGGCGGGCAGGAAAGUCAGAUGUGAAAGCCCUGGGCUCAACCCAGGAACUGCAUUUGAAACUCCCUUUCUUGAGUGUCGGAGAGGAAAGCGGAAUUCCUGGUGUAGAGGUGAAAUUCGUAGAUAUCAGGAGGAACACCGGUGGCGAAGGCGGCUUUCUGGACGACAACUGACGCUGAGACGCGAAAGCGUGGGGAGCAAACAGG
rnacentral:rRNA from 1 species